AGGAAAGAAAUGAACUCACGUCACGGCACAAGAAAGAGAGAGCAAGUUUUCGUCCUCCCUAUUCAUUUGCUCUCUCUCCGUUCAUCUUUUUUCAGGCUUAUCAUUCACGCCUAACUUUGAUAUCUGACCCUACAAGGGCGGGCAUUUCAUUCAACCUCCUCUGUGAUGCUCUCUCGCUGCUUGAUCACCUCCUCCCUCUCCUUCCUCUUCCUGUUAUUGGAGUCCCACCCUCUCAAGAUUCUCUCCUCGUGGACAUGCGCCUGCGCCUCUCUCUUCCGCAGUCGCCACCCUAGUCCCAGUCAUAGUCCAGUUCAACCCCCGAGAUUGUCGUCCUUGAAGGAGAAGAUGAGUCCAGCUCCAGAACCAGGCAAUGCAGAGGAGUCCCAAGGAGGAGCGCCGUCGCUGCUCGACUUGCCGGAGCUCGCUCUGGAAUACAUUCUCGAGAAGCUCCCCCCAGAGGGGCUCUUGAGCAUGUCUGGGGUGUGCACAGCUUUGAGAGAUAGGUGCAGGAGCGACUAUUUCUGGGACAAGCACAUGAAGCGGAAGUGGGACAGAGUGAUUGGUCCAUCAGCUUAUAAGGUGUGGCAAUUGUGCCUUUCUCCUAGAAGGGAUAACGGUGAUUCGAAUCAGGGGAAGCAGAAGGGGUUGCUGAGGUUGUUUUCUCUUGUUUGGCCCUGUUCAUGGGCUGGUGAGAGGAUCAAUAUCGGUCAAGACCAGACAUGCUCUCUGCCUUAUGAUUCAUCGGUCAUGUCUUGGUAUAUUGCCCUUGAGACUGGGAGGUUCUGGUUCCCUGCUCAAGUCUAUAAUCGCGAGAAUGGGCAUGCUGGGUUUUUGUUGUCUUGCUAUGAUGCUGAGCUCAGCUAUGAUUUUCGAACCGACACCUUCAGAGCCAGGUACCCCCCACAUGGCAGGAGGGCGAUGGCGCUGGAGACCGGGGUGACGUGGGAAAGGCUGAGGUCCCCUCAGGUCGAUACUUCUCCACACGACCUUCACUUGUCUGAUUGUUUGAAGGAUCUCUGCCCCGGUGACCACGUCGAGAUUCAGUGGAGAAGAAACAAAGAGUUUCCAUAUGGUUGGUGGUACGGCGUCGUCGGUCAUCUGGAAUCAUGUAACAGGAACGAAAGUUACUGUCGUUGUUCUAGCAGCGGUGCUGUGGUUCUGGAAUUCAAUCAGUAUUCAGCAGGGUCACCGUGGAGCCGCACAACCAUAGACAGGAGAAACCACAGGGAGGAAGGAAAUGAGGUGGACGGAUUUUAUGGAGGAAUCAGAAAGCUCAGGACCGACGACGAGAUUUCCGCAUGGAAGCGGCUCUGGCCAACUGAGCUAUUAGAAUAGGCUAUGAUCCCAACAGCCUGCUUUGAGCGCAGGGCGAGGAUAAAUUUGGAACAGUUUCCCAUUCAAGAGGAGCUCUGUUGAAUCUUUCACCAGGCGAAAGUGGCUGGAUAGAAGCUGAUACUCAGUCGGUUGGAUGAAUAUGAUAUGGCAUAUACAAAUGAAGGUGUCAAAUGUGACUUUUGCCUACUCUUUGAACAUCUGCUUGUUUCAAUCCUAGAAACACGAAUCAACCUAGCAAUAAUUGAACCAAAAGAAAUAGAUGAACGGUAGGGGAAGUGAAGCUUGAGCAGAUAUAAUUGAUGAAAGGCGAUAGUACCUCUCGUUCCUCCACUGUAAUGGCUGGGCUUUUCAUACAUUGACAGGAGAAAAAUACCUCUGAGAACAGUUCGUGGCGAGGGAAGUAAUGCGUUUUUGUCGAAUCAACAACUGUACGGUGUUCCUACUGAACAGGAGACGAUGUUUACCUUGAACUGAGGUGCGAUUGACAACACCAAAGAGCACAUUCAAGAUGACCAUGGAUUCGCCCAGAGUGCUCCUGAAAAGCCUCACAGAAACUUCACUUCACAUGCAUGGAGGUUUUGACCCCAUAGCCCAAGCAAAGCAGCAUUCUGGGUGGUAGCGGACAAGCGUCAUCCGACCUGCCGUGCUCACUUCUUUGCCCUCGCUGCACUGGCCUGAUGGCUUCGACCCGGCUGACCCAAAGCUCAAUCUUCUCAAAAUGUUUGGUUUCCUCACCGCUUCAGCUGACGGAGAAUCUCCCCUCUUCUCUUUUGUCCAGAGCUCUCUCCCCAUGGACGUGCUCCUUAGGAGGAACUUCUUUAUCCUCUGCCUAUUAGAUUGUCUUGUGAAUCUAGCAGACCCUCCAUUUUCUUCCCCCUGAUCUCUUGUGCUUAUGACUUCAGGUCCUGAGAGAGCGGUGAAGGCUGGCUUGCAUGGACUUGCAUGGUUGUCCAUCUUCACUAGCCUCACUCUCCUUGCAAAUUCCACUCCCCUUGGCUCUGCCAAUGCCAGCUUCCUUUGCCUCUGCGAGGUACAGAAUCAAUUUCUCCACGUUACUUCAGAGGCAGUAAGGAUAUUGGCUUAUGUAGUGGUGAAUGAAAAUCACAUUCGAAGCUAAAAUAGUCUGACACGACAAGGAAUUCCAAAUGAAAGUCGAUCCAUUUAUGCAAACUGAAUGUUUUUAAUCA